CUCACACCGCGCAGGUCCUUGGAGAGCUCGGGUUCUGCCUGCGAGAGGUACGUGAGGAGAGUGAGGAAGCGGGAGCGAGGGAGGCAGGGCUGUGCCGUGCCGCCUCUUGCAGCCCUGCCUUGAGGGGAUCUGAACUUGUCCUGUCCGCCCUAAAGAUAACGGGGUGCUGAGGUAAACACGGCCUAAGUAAAGCACACGGACCUGUCCUAUUGCAGAGUCGCUGCGCCCAGUGCUCUGCAGAUUGCUGAAGGACAGCCCACAGCAUACAGAUAGCGUUAAUGUCAGAGACUCGUACAAGGUGCAGGUCUGAGGCCCAAAACGUGUUUACACCUAUGACUGUGCUCAACAGCAGUGUGUAAUGUAGGCUGCGUGCAUUCCUCCUCAGAGUACCCUCAUUCCCUCUCUUAAUGGGGGAUGAUGCAACUCGAUGCCAUUUCAAGAUAAGGACACAGGAAAAAAUAAAGAAAUGGGAAAUUCCUC